GAUGAAGAACGCAGCGAAAUGCGAUAAGUAAUGUGAAUUGCAGAAUUCAGUGAAUCAUCGAAUCUUUGAACGCACCUUGCGCCCUUUGGCCAUUCCGAAGGGCAUGCCUGUUUGAGUAUCAUGAACACCUCAACUCUUUAUGGUUUUCCAUGAUGAGCUUGGACUCUGGGGGUUUUGCUGGCUCACAGUCGGCUCCUCUAAAAUAAAUCAGCUUACCAGUGUUUGGUGGGUAUCAUGGGUGUGAUAACUAUCUACGCUUGUGGUUUUUCCACCAGGUAACCUUCAGCAGUGGAGGUUCGCUGGAGCUCAUAGAUGUCUCUCCUCAGUGAGGACAGACCUUUGAACGUUUGAUCUCAAAUCAGGUAGGACUACCCGCUGAACUUAAGCAUAUCAAUAAGCGGAGGA
rnacentral:misc_RNA from 1 species